CCUUCCACACAGCUCUCCUGCCAGCCAUGGACGGUGUGGACCGUAAUCUGGGCUGACAUCCACCCAGCUAUGGUAAGGCCUCAGGUUCACUGUGGUCUCUAGCUUCCCUGAUAGCACGCCUGCUCUCAGACUCUGGCCACAGUGGACUUACUUUCACAAAGUAUACAGAGAGGGUAGCAUUGGACAUCUUAGUCUCCCCAAAAGUCCGAAUGUUGAAGGCUGCAAUUCUCAGAGUCCCAGCCAGCUGCAGCAGGUUGACCAAGGUGAGCAGUGUUCCCAUUAGCCCUGUGUACCGCAUCCUGUGAGAUUGAAUGGUCAGGACAAAGAAGCAGUGAAGCUCCCAUCCCCAUCAAAGACUAAAGCCUAGCUUGUGCUGAGCCAGUGGGAGGCCCUCAGUCCUUCCCCUGUACUUACCUGAAAGCCAAUCUGAGACGGCUGCAGCAGUCAGAACAGACCUGCUCUGUAUGAUGAGCCCCCGAGUCUGCACUGGAACUGGAUGAACAAGAUGCUGUCUCUACCAUGCCGAACAUCAACAGUAGGACCAGGAGCACACUCUGGAGGUACAAGAACCAGGAAGGUAGAAGCAGCUGAGUGCUUCUGGAGUUUUCAGUCAGAUCAACAAGGAAGUAUGUGCUGACAGCCAGUGACCAUAAGGAACACUGGCCACUUUUACGGAUCAGGUGAGCUUUUUAAAGGUCAGCUCUGAUUAUUUACAAUGUUCUCUUUAAAUUGCUCUUGUCACAGAUACCAAAUGGGGAAGUAACGAAUAGCAAUAGAUUAUUAAAGUGUGAGCCAAGUCAAAGGAUAUGGGUUUGGAAAAGAACUGAUUCUCGGGCUGGAGAGAUGGCUCAGCGGUUAAGAGCACUGACUGGCUCUUCCGAAGGUCUCGAGUUCAAAUCCCAGCAACCACAUGGUGGCUCACAACCAUCCAUAAUGAGAUCUGAUGCCCUCUUCUGGGGUGUCUGAAGACAGCUACAGUGUAUUUACAUAUAAUAAAUAAAUAAAUAAAUAAAUAAAUCUUUU
rnacentral:lncRNA from 1 species